AAGACAAAGAGAAGGAUGAAAGAAAAGAGAAAAAAAAUAGAAAAAAGAGAAAAAAAAAGAAAAAAAAAAAGAAAAAGGUAUCUGUCUUUUCCUUGUCUCCUCGAUGGAUUAGUUUAAAACCCUUUGCGUUUGUGAUUGCGUGCUCACGUCGUUCCGAAAACCGAAAUCAGUAAAAUCUUUUUAGAGUCCUCUUAGCUUCAAUUUAGCGAGCAAGCGAAUAACAGAGAAAGAGAAAGAGAAAGACAGAGAGAGAGAGAGAGAUAAAGAGAGAGAGAGAGAGAAGUUCUCAACACCAGGGAACAACACAACAACCGGUCGUACCGGGGCAAGUUGGAAGAGCCGACCGAGUCCCAAGAUCCUUCGUCCAAUCCGUAUAUACCACCUUUUUCUUCCUUCUACACGACCUUCCCGUCGGCUUUUCUAUCCCGAUACAAAGAGGCGCGAGCGAGCCUAAUUAUUAUGAUAGCUCGCCACUGGAUUCUGUCGGUUCCUUUGAUCUGCCGCCGUUUAGCAUGAUCCCCCGAUAUUUAGGUAGGCCCCGUUGUCCCUCUUCCGACGCUGCCACUCGGUUCUCUCUUCUCACUCGGCAGUUCAGUGGGGAGUGUGCGGUUGGCUCUCUUUGCCGUUUAUGUAAAGGGGUGGGGGUAAAGAUCAGAGUGGGGAUGAAGCACGAGGGCGGAUCGUACCGAGUAGUACGAUCGUUGGUGGGACGAGGUCCAUGGAUAUAAACCAUUCAUCAAUGAGCAUUUUUUUCGGAAAAUUUACAAGUCCCUCUUUCUUUCUCUCUCUCUCUCUCUCUCUUUCUCUCUUUCUCUCUUUCUCUCUUUCUCUCUUUCUCUCUUUCUCUCUUUCUCUCUUUUUAUCUCCGUCCGCAUAGCCCAUCUUUCUUUAUCCCUCUUCUUCAUUCUUUCCGUUCUUCGAGAAGUAAGAGGAGUAAGAAAAGGAAGAGGAGGAGGUGAAGAAGGAGAAGAAGAAGUAGAAGAUCGUGGACCACACGUGAACACGCAGAGUUCGAGUCAUCGUCUCUUUCGUCGUCUUCGUUGUCGUCGUAUCGUUUGCCAUCGAUACAACACGCCAUUCUUCUUCUUAUCUCGAACCUACCAAGCGAACACGUUCGAUCUCGUCUCAAAACCGAACUCGAUAACAGCCGAGGUCUGGCAAGCGUGUAAUUUUCCACCGCUUAUCCAACCACUCUACGACCGGGAUCCAUUCUCUUGUCAGAUCGGGCCGAGUCACGGAAGGUGUGAGGGGACAAAAAAGUCUUGGGUGGGAGAGUAAAAGAAAGAGAGAGAGAGAGAGAGAGAGAGAAAGAGAAGGAGAAGGAGAGAGGGGAAGGAAGGGGAUAAAUCUCGUUACAGCUCUCGAGAUACAUCCUUCGUAAUCGAGCACGGCACACGGUGCUUGCGCAGCUUGCUUCCACGAUGCGCCGUGACGACGGACGCUAAUAGCGUUCGCACGACACCUUUCGAGAGUAAAGGAGACUCGUCAAGAGAAAAAAUACGAUACGAUGUACUAACUUAAGCGUAAUUGACGAGAAGUCUAGGACAGGUCACGCGAAGGUAUUCUUACAGCAAAGGUCGCUGCCACGGCAAAAGUUCAUGAACGUUUCGCAUCGCUCGUUUCCUCUUCGAACGAACAAUCAGAUCUAUUUAUGUAUCACAGAUACAUGUAUGUACAUACAUACAGAUACAUACAUAUAUAUCUAAAUACUUAUUUAUAUCCUUAGACAUAAAUAUUCCAUCUGUCUCCUCAUUUUCGAUUUAGAUUUAAAACGUUCACCAUGUAAUACUGAAAUACUUAAAUAAGUAACUAUAAUACAUCCGCGAAAGAAAAGAAAAAAAAAAUCUGAUCAUCCUAUCUCUCUCUCUCUCUCUCUCUCUCUCUCUCUCUCUCUCUCUCUCUUGUUCUCUCUCUUUCUCUCUGUUUUUUUAUCUCCCAUUCUUCAAUCGAUUGAAUGUGAGCAUAUCUUGUACUUACACGUACUUACUUACAAUACACGAUAUUUAUUUACUACCUAUUAAACUCACUUGUCUCGGGAGACCGAUCCUACAUUGAUGCGUAACCAAAACCAAGUUAUUAUUUAACACUGCCUUCCCCCUUCCUCUCAACCUUACUUUACUUCUUGCAAGUUCGAAUAAAUGAAUCGACAGAUAAGUGUAAGAUACUUAAUACAGGUACAAAUAACAUCAUUGCACAAAAAUCAUUAGAUUGAUUU